GAAUGUCUUCGGGGCGGGGUGGAAGUCCCCACCGGCGGUAGGCGCGGCGACGCGUGAGCCCGCGAGCGCUGCCGGCUUUGUCGGCGGGUCAGCAGAUCCGGUCCAAGUCCGGAGCCGACGGUCAGAGUCCGGAUGCGAGAAGACGACC
rnacentral:ncRNA from 2 species